GAUUAACGCUGGCGGCGUGCCUAAUACAUGCAAGUCGAGCGAACAGACGAGGAGCUUGCUCCUCUGACGUUAGCGGCGGACGGGUGAGUAACACGUGGAUAACCUACCUAUAAGACUGGGAUAACUUCGGGAAACCGGAGCUAAUACCGGAUAAUAUAUUUAACCGCAUGGUUCAAUAGUGAAAGACGGUUUUGCUGUCACUUAUAGAUGGAUCCGCGCCGCAUUAGCUAGUUGGUAAGGUAACGGCUUACCAAGGCAACGAUGCGUAGCCGACCUGAGAGGGUGAUCGGCCACACUGGAACUGAGACACGGUCCAGACUCCUACGGGAGGCAGCAGUAGGGAAUCUUCCGCAAUGGGCGAAAGCCUGACGGAGCAACGCCGCGUGAGUGAUGAAGGUCUUCGGAUCGUAAAACUCUGUUAUUAGGGAAGAACAAAUGUGUAAGUAACUAUGCACGUCUUGACGGUACCUAAUCAGAAAGCCACGGCUAACUACGUG
rnacentral:rRNA from 1 species